rnacentral:lncRNA from 1 species
CAGAUGGUGGAAAGCUGAAUUAGUCCCAGGCAGAAAGACCAGAGAUGCAACAAUGGAGGAGCAAACUGAUUUGAGGUGGUGAAGAGAAGGCUGCCUGUGAUGAAGUUGUUCAAGACUGGCCAAUAAAAUCAGUUUCUCUGGCUGAAAAGAGAGCAGGGAGAUGGGAGUAUCCUGAGGCCUCCAGAGAAUAUGCAUGUACACCAUUCUCGCUCGUCUCAAGGCCACAGGCUGGCAUCUGGAAUAGAACUUCUCUCCUGAUGAGGAAGCUGAUAAGGUUAUAAGUAAUUGUGUUGGUCAUCCUUAUGGAACUGAGGAUGACAGGGCUCGACAGGAUGAAUUCUGCCUCUUCACCUCUCACAUCUUGUACCUCGACCACCUUCCUGAUUCCAGCGUGUUGGUGUCUAUAGUACAU